UACGGAGGAUGCGAGCGUUAUCCGGAUUUAUUGGGUUUAAAGGGUGCGUAGGCGGGCUUUUAAGUCAGCGGUAAAAAUUCGGGGCUCAACCCCGUCCGGCCGUUGAAACUGGGGGCCUUGAGUGGGCGAGAAGAAGGCGGAAUGCGUGGUGUAGCGGUGAAAUGCAUAGAUAUCACGCAGAACCCCGAUUGCGAAGGCAGCCUUCCGGCGCCCUACUGACGCUGAGGCACGAAAGUGUGGGGAUCGAACAGG
rnacentral:rRNA from 1 species